AUUGAACGCUGGCGGAAUGCUUUACACAUGCAAGUCGAACGGUAGAGGGGGCAACCCCUCGAGAGUGGCGAACGGGUGAGUAAUAUAUCGGAACGUGCCCAGUCGUGGGGGAUAACGUAGCGAAAGUUACGCUAAUACCGCAUACGAUCUAAGGAUGAAAGCGGGGGAUCGCAAGACCUCGCGCGAUUGGAGCGGCCGAUAUCAGAUUAGGUAGUUGGUGGGGUUAAGGCUCACCAAGCCAACGAACGGUAGCUGGUCUGAGAGGACGACCAGCGACACUGGAACUGAGACACGGUCCAGACUCCUACGGGAGGCAGAAGUGGGGAAUUUUGGACAAUUGACGCAAGGCUGAUCCAGCCAUUCCGCGUGCAGGAUGAGGGCCCUCGGGUUGUAAACUGCUUUUGUACGGAACGAAAAGGUCUCUCUUAAUACGGGGGGCUCAUGACGGUACCGUAAGAAUAAGCACCGGCUAACUACGUGCCAGCCGCCGCGGUAA
rnacentral:rRNA from 1 species